CACAACUGUGUUUACUUAUCUUAGCUCAGAAUUUUCCUUCAUUUUUCUCAAACUCUCUUAUUUUACAUUAUGGACUGUGACUAUGACUUCUGCUACCUAAACCCUACUUCAAAGCCAUCGAUAAUCGUCUUCCAUCGGUUGAUAAUAAUCGUCUUCCAUUGCUCAAACUCGAAAUCUAGGAAAAACUUUGACGAUGGAUCCGAGCAGCUCCUCCACCGGAAACGAAAACACCAAGAAGAGACCAGUCUCUUCAGAGGAAGAAGCUCAAGAGGUUGAAGCUGAAGGCUCAAAGAGAAGUUGUCCAAACUCAUCUGAUCAUCUACCAACAGGUUCUGGGUUUCUUACCCCUAGGUCUUUCAAAGCUACUUUGACGAUAGAAUUUGGACCUGAAAAUCCCCAAGAGGAAGUAAAGUUCUAUAUUUUAAUCUAGAAUAACAGUAAGAGGAUGUCAAGACCUACAAUAACAUGAGCUGUUUUGUUUUUCCUGGACGCAGACUAUCCGCCUUGACUCUCUUCCACCAUUACAAAGCUAUGGACCUGAAAUAAAUCUACUUCAGAGUGUGGUUGGAAUAUUUGGAGAUUCACUCAAAGGUAUCGUUGUUAAUAAAGAGCCAACAUUGGGAAAAAAGCCUCUCCAACAAGUUAUCAAGGACCUAAAUAAGAACCUAAAUGAGCUUGUACAGAGUCUUCAAUCUGUUCCACAAACAGUAAGAUCUGCUAUUAGUAGGGAGUUAUAAAGAAAGAUUUAACUCAUGUCAAAGAUAACUUAAAGAGAGAAUUUGAUAAUUUCGUGACGACUGAACAACUAGCUCAUUCUGAAGUUCAUAAUUACCAAAACCAAAGCGUUGAGGACGAUAAUAAUAACUUGGCGGGAACUCAACAGCUAGCUAAUUCUAAUCAUAAUUUAGAAGUUCAUAAUCACCAAUUUCAAAGCGUUGAGGACGAUAAUAAUAAUUUCGUGGGGAUUGAACAACUAGCUAAUUCCAAUCAUAAUUGUGAAGUUUACGUUGACCAAAAUCAAAAUGUAGAGACCAAUCAUUUUGAGGAUGGUGAGGUGGAAGCUAAUGGUUCCUACCAGAAUUUUGAAGUUCCUCAGCAAAGUCAAAACCUUCAUGAGGAAAAGCAAUAUGGUGACAGUUGUUCUGAAGAAUGGUCUCUUGAUGAAGUCUUGGCUGAAAUAUGUUAAAGCUCUUCUUGAUUAUUAUAAUUUGGGUUACAUUAGAAGCAGCUUCAACUCCAUAUGAGAUGAGUGCUAUACUCAAACACUCUCAAGAACUUGGACCAUACAUGAAGUUUUAGCCCUUAUUGCCAUUUUUCUAUUGGAAAAAUGUUUGAUUGAUAUAGUUCUUUUUUUUUUUUUUUUGUUGAAUUGUCUUCUAUUAUCCCAUAGUUCGGUUGAAUAUUGGAUGAAUUGUGUUAUUUAUCUUUAUCACCCAAUUAUUUGUUGGAAAAUUGUAGUGGGUUGAGAGGAAAACAAAGUAAGGAUAUUUGCAAAAUUUGCUUAUUUUAUUUUUGGCUUUA